rnacentral:tRNA from 1 species
GGUAGAAUGACUCAAAUAGAAGAGUACCUGCCUACAAAGCAUGAAGCCCUGAGUUCAACCCAAGUACUACCA